UCCACGCCCCCCCCCCCCCCCCCCCCCCCCGUCAAGCCUUUGGCAUCAUUAUCCUCAUCACUAAAUCCUACAGAGUACAGGGCGGAAAACGGUGCACAC
rfam:Felis catus isolate Cinnamon breed Abyssinian chromosome C1, whole genome shotgun sequence.